AUGUGGUCCCUGGAGGGGGCCAAAGAGGUGCUAGGCAAGUUCUGCAUCAUCGACCGGCUCGACAGCCACACCUUUGAGCACCGGGACACGCGCAUGUUCGCCUGCUGGGUGUGGGUGUGGAACCUCACGGACAUCCCCACCCGCCACUGCCUUUCCAGCUUCGAGGAGGGGGCUGGCCGCAUGACGGAGAUGCUGGGCUACUCGCCGCCGCUCAGGGCUAACCGCAUCGUCCCGCCGCCCCCUGAGGGGGAGCGCAGCUCCCUGCUCUUCCACAUCGACCGCGUCGAGGACUGGAGGUUCCGACGACGAUGA
rnacentral:rRNA from 1 species